UACAGAGACUGCAAGCGUUAUUCGGAUUCACUGGGCGUAAAGGGUGCACAGGCGGCCAAGUGUGUGAGGCGUGAAAGCCCGGGGCUUAACCCCGGAAUUGCACCUCAAACUACAUGGCUAGAGCAUUGGAGAGGGUAGCAGAAUUCAUGGUGUAGCAGUGAAAUGCGUAGAUAUCAUGAGGAAUACCAGAGGCGAAGGCGGCUACCUGGACAAUUGCUGACGCUCAGGCACGAAAGCGUGGGGAGCAAAAGGG
rnacentral:rRNA from 1 species